UACGUAGGGUGCGAGCGUUGUCCGGAAUUAUUGGGCGUAAAGGGCUCGUAGGCGGUUUGUCGCGUCGGGAGUGAAAACACUGGGCUUAACUCAGUGCUUGCUUUCGAUACGGGCAGACUAGAGGUAUGCAGGGGAGAACGGAAUUCCUGGUGUAGCGGUGAAAUGCGCAGAUAUCAGGAAGAACACCGAUGGCGAAGGCAGCUCUCUGGGACGGUACUGACGCUGAGACGCGAAAGCGUGGGGAGCGAACAGG
rnacentral:rRNA from 1 species